AGCCUCCUGGUACUUACUACAGGCUGUGUUCUUAUACUGACAGCAUAGAAAGAGGAGUCAGAGUAAACCCACCCUACAUACAGCCUGGGCAGGCACUUUGCCUGGUCUGUAUGGUGAAUGGGAGUACAUGG
ensembl:snoRNA